AUGUCUUGUUCCUAUGUAAGGCCUCCAUUUCUUCAUGCAUUGCUGUCAUCCAUUGAGAAGCAUCCGAACCAUUCAACGCCUCAUGAAAAGUUGACGGUUCACCUUCUUCAGUUAUAAGACAAUAUGCAUCAUGGCUUGUCAUAACAUAGUCUGAUUGCCAAGACGGUUUCUGCGUCUGACGCGUUGAUCGACGAACACCAUCAUUGACAUCAUCUGGUUCUUGUUCUUCGUGCACCGAUUCAGCUUCAGAAGAAUCACUUUCUUUGGAUUUUUCUUCCAUCUGCACUAUAGCAGUCUCUUUAGAAGUGCUGUCAUUUUUCUGCUCACUUUGCAGUUCAUUUUCUGCAAAGACUACAUCCCUGCUAACAACAACCUUGCGGGCAGUGGGAUCCCACAGGCGAUACCCCUUAACAUUGUCAGCAUAACCCAAGAAGAUACAUUUCCUGGACUUU
rnacentral:lncRNA from 1 species